GGAUACCAGAAGGGUUAGGGUGGGGUACCAGAAGGGUUAGUGGUGGGAUACCAGAAGGGUUAGUGGUGGGGUACCAGAAGUGUUAGUGGUGGGAUACCAGAAGUGUUAGUGGUGGGGUACCAGAAGGGUUAGUGGUGGGG